GGCUGAUUCACAAGGAUCCAGAGAUGGAGAUUGUUCUCCAGGAUGCAGUUCAGUCCAGCAGAAGAGCUCAAACCCAGAGUCCAGCUGUGUGUCUCUGAAGAGUAACUGGUCUAUGGAGGAGCCAACAAAGUUUAAGAGUGAAAACACACAGCCUGAUCUCAGGUCAAAUCUUUUAUCCAGUCCAGUUAAAAACAAAACUGUGAUUCGACCACAAAACUUUAAUGAAAGCAUGAAUCCUG